CACAGCUUACCUCUUACCAACAAUGAAUAGCAUCAAAGCCGUGAUUGUGUGUUGCCUCGUGGUAGCCGUCUCUGCCGGUGUAGACCGAAGUAGAGGUGGACGAGGCUCCAACAGAUUCCUUCCUGGAGGGCUUGGGUGGCGUACAAGGAGGCGGUCU
rnacentral:misc_RNA from 1 species